GUUGUACAAAAAGAAAAUGUUGACUGAAAGAAUAAUGCAUGAGUGCAUUAAUAAGUUAUUAGGGGAAUAUCAGAAUCCAGAUGAGGAAGAUGUUGAAGCUUUGUGCAAGUUGAUGAGCACAAUUGGAGAGAUGAUAGAUCAUCCCAGAGCAAAAGACUAUAUGGAUUCUUAUUUUGAGAUCAUGACCAUGUUAUCAAACAACAUGAAAUUAUCAUCCAGAGCUCGG
rnacentral:misc_RNA from 1 species